rnacentral:tRNA from 1 species
GGGUUUGUGGCUCAGUGGUAGAGUGCUCACCUCACACGUGUGAGGCCCUGGGUUCAAUCCUCAGCACCA